CUUUUAUUCAUAUAUAUGUGUCAAAUAUAAAAGAUUUAAAUGCUUUUAUGUAAUUUAAUUUAAGUUUGAAUGGGAAUGACUAACAGGCUAUUACUAUGUUCUAUUCCAUACAAUGAAAAACGAUCGUGCAAUACAAGUAUGGACUAAAUGAGAACCGGAAUCCACAGUGGAACGAACUGUGGAACGCAUAGCCGAAACCGGAAAUGACGAAUCGCUAUACUAGGCGGAAGUGAAGCGAUCAAAAAGAGGCUUGGAACACAGGGUACGUCCGUUACUAUGGAGAAUACCCGUGAAUUCACAAGCUAAAUCAGCUGAUUCCCC